rnacentral:ncRNA from 2 species
CCCAGAUCAUAUGACUGACGGAAUCGUGGGGCUCACCACAUGAAGUAUGAUCCUGUUUUUUGCCGACCGUCUGGGCACAGUUG